rnacentral:rRNA from 1 species
AUUGAACGCUGGCGGCAGGCUUAACACAUGCAAGUCGAGCGGAGAUGAGGUGCUUGCACCUUAUCUUAGCGGCGGACGGGUGAGUAAUGCUUAGGAAUCUGCCUAUUAGUGGGGGACAACAUUCCGAAAGGAAUGCUAAUACCGCAUACGUCCUACGGGAGAAAGCAGGGGAUCUUCGGACCUUGCGCUAAUAGAUGAGCCUAAGUCGGAUUAGCUAGUUGGUGGGGUAAAGGCCUACCAAGGCGACGAUCUGUAGCGGGUCUGAGAGGAUGAUCCGCCACACUGGGACUGAGACACGGCCCAGACUCCUACGGGAGGCAGCAGUGGGGAAUAUUGGACAAUGGGGGGAACCCUGAUCCAGCCAUGCCGCGUGUGUGAAGAAGGCCUUAUGGUUGUAAAGCACUUUAAGCGAGGAGGAGGCUACUGAGACUAAUACUCUUGGAUAGUGGACGUUACUCGCAGAAUAAGCACCGGCUAACUCUGUGCCAGCAGCCGCCGUAA